GAAGUUUUGCAUGCUGAAUGAAUAUUUUAUUUAGAACCAGUUUAUAAAAAUAAAAUACAAAAUAAUUUGAAAACAAAACUUAAAACAUUGUACAAAGCCUUGAUAUGGUACAAAUGAGAAAAUAAAUAAUUACAACUUUAUGUACAAAUGACCAUUACAAGGGCAUUAACUCUUUAUGUUCUUGAGUGCCUGAGCAAAAUUAAAAGGUAAUGAAUGGCUUAGAAGAUUUCCAAGGAGGGGAAGAGAACUGCGAUUACUGAAGCAAGAGAAUUUGAAGGACUCAACAUUUGUCUUCCUCAAUGGUAACAAACAAUCUUGGAACUACUUUCCACUUAAUUUAAUCAUGCUGCAGAUUUUACUACUGACUACUUAAUUUCUUUGGGGGUGACAACAUUGUAUUUUUAAUUAGUACACAGACUUCAUUCUUUGUGGUAUUGCCCAGAGAUUUUAGUUAGCAGCCAUUGUUUGGCAGCUUCGAAAAGUCAGUACUUGUCUGAAGGCAUUGCUGGUGAUUUCCUUAAUUUACUGGUUUGGGUAAUCAUAGGUGAGCAUUUGAAAAUCGACAUCAGUUAGCACAAGCACUGCAGCUUAUCUCCACGCUGCCUCUACAGAAAUAAAAGCUGGGGAAGAAUUUCGUAUCUUGCUUUCUAGCCACAGAAAGAAAAGAGGAUGCAGAAGAGGCUGCUAGGCAGCCAACCCAGAUCUCUAGUCAUAGGAAAAAGAUGUGAAAUAGCCAUAAAAAUCCCACCUCACCUUGUGUCGAACCUUUAUGACCUUGCCUUCCACGCAGCAGAUACAGGUUUAAAAGGAUUUGAAGCCAGGCAGACCAAACUAAUUACACUCUAUCAUUUGAAGCAUGCUGGUCUGCUGUCAUUAUAGGUCCUUUAUAUAAAAGUUAGGCCAAAGAUCAAAUGAUCUCAAAAGGAAACGAACAUCUGUAACUCAAAUUAAUUCCAGCUGAAUUCCCACAGACAGCUGUGGAUGAUCAGGACCUCAUGAGUAUUGUUUUAAAAGAAACCACUUUGUACUCUUGGCCAAAGCCAGCUCUCAGCAGUAAUUCUUACAGAAAAGUAGAGAUCAAAAGGCAUGUCAUGUCAUAAUAGUAAUAAAAAAAUAUGCAUUUUCCAAUUUAAAAUACAGCAAUUUCAUAUAUGCUAUUUGUAGAGUGAGUUUAUUCCUUCAGUCCCUAAACAGGGGAAAAAACCUUAAUAAGAUCCUACACUGAUUUUCACCUGCACAAGAACAGCAAGAAUUCCCAAGGAUCCAACCUCUUCAUGUUGAGGAGAAACAGAAGCAAAAUACAUCAAUGACCUACGCUAACAUUCGGGUUUGUCACUAUUACUGUUAAGAAAGAAUGUGUUACUAAACAAUGGAGAGUAAAAUCAGCCUGCACGUUCAAACCUGGAUGGCUAGAGUGAUUGCCAAGUUAAUACAUGAGACUUCAAAACAGCACUCCUGUGCAUUCUUCCUUUAAAACAAAACAAACCCCUCAAAGGUUAGUAUUUAAAAGCCUGAUUAUUUAAGCCAUAGGAAAAUGAGUAUUAAUUUUUUUUGGCAUUUGACAGUAUCUUAAGGUAAUUCCAGACCAUUAUUACACACAAUCCAGGCUGCCUUUUAUAUCAUUCUCUUUUACAAAUGUUCUAUGUAGGGGAAAGAAAGACUGGCAUCAAGCAGCCAGCUGAGGUAUUCCUGUGUGAAAUGUGUGUUUAUGCAAUUUGCAUGUAUUAGCUAAGAAAUGCAUGACCCGUGCCUAUGUAUUGCAUGUAGUCAAAACACUGAACCUCGCUUCCUUUUACCAGCGUUACUGGUUACUGAAAAUUGCAGUAAUUGCAACCAAUGACAUAUGAGCCAAAAGCAAAACAGCAAACAAAAUCCUUCAGUUCACUGCCUACUUGAUUAGCUAAAGGAAGUAGAAUAGACUGUUCGACAAGUUUCAGAAACAGGAAUGAGCAUCCAAAGCUUUUAUCAGCUGCAGAAAGGAAUCAUGGAUAAUCAUCAAGGAUUUUAUUUAUACAGCUGACAGUUCUAUGACCACUCCUUACAGUGGAAAAGCAUAGAGAGACUGUGCCACAGGGAAUCGUGGUGUUAACCUAAGACAUCUAAGUAGCCCCUUGCUCAUGGAAUUGACAAGAUGGGCAUAGCUCUCAUCACCUCACAGGAUCAGUCCUGCAUGAAAAAACUAAGAUCAAUAUAUUAUAGGCCUAUAAUGAGAAAGCAGUUUGACUUUGAGCUCUCUUUUAUUCUCCCAUUCCUUUUCAGAGGAUUCCUCUCAUUUAACUUCUAUAUAAAAAUUGGAGGUGCAUAUCCCUAGCCAUAGUUUGCCAUGAGAUCCUUACAAGAAAUUGGAAUAAUCACUUUCUUCUUACCAGAAUUGUUGCCUUUUAGUGUUCUGCAAAAUCAUCCAAUUCAUUAUGGAAAAAUUCUGUCUACAGGAAAGACUCUGUACUGUAAGUGGCCUUGUCUACAUUCUCAUUGAAGAUAAAAAAGAAAAUACUUAGAAGCAUUAUAGUCAACCAUUGCAUAAAUGUUACUGCAAUAAGAAGGACUUAUGGGAGUUUUGCCCAAGUAGGGCUAUAGGAUCAGGCCUUGUAAUAUGGAAAAGACACAGGAUCAGAAUUAGAUCAUAGCAAAAUUAUGGUAGAUGAAGAGGAGAUCAGAGAAAAUC
rnacentral:lncRNA from 1 species